GACGAACGCUGGCGGCGUGCUUAACACAUGCAAGUCGAGCGGUAAGGCCCUUUCGGGGGUACGACGAGCGGCGAACGGGUGAGUAACACGUGGGUGACCUGCCCUCAGCUCUGGGAUAAGCCUGGGAAACCGGGUCUAAUACUGGAUAUGACUCCAUGACGCAUGUUGUGGGGUGGAAAGCCUUGUGCGGCUGAGGAUGGGCCCGCGGCCUAUCAGCUUGUUGGUGGGGUGAGGCCUACCAAGGCGACGACGGGUAGCCGGCCUCGAGAGGGCGACCGGCCGACACUGGGACGUGAGACACGGCCCAGACUCCUACGGGAGGGCAGCAGUGGGGAAGUCUUGCG
rnacentral:rRNA from 1 species